rnacentral:rRNA from 1 species
UACGUAUGUCGCGAGCGUUAUCCGGAUUUAUUGGGCGUAAAGCGAGCGCAGACGGUUCGAUAAGUCUGAAGUGAAAGCCCACAGCUCAACUGUGGAAUGGCUUUUGAAACUGUCGAACUUGAGUGCAGUAGAGGUAAGUGGAACUCCAUGUGUAGCGGUGGAAUGCGUAGAUAUAUGGAAGAACACCAGUGGCGAAGGCGGCUUACUGGACUGCAACUGACGUUGAGGCUCGAAAGUGUGGGUAGCAAACAGG